AAAGAAACCAAUGAGCUUACGUCCUAUGGUAGUUGCUGCGCUUACCGCUCAAAUCUGAAAGUUGGUCCCUCCGGGGUCCGCAUUGUAAUUUGCAGAGGAUGCUUCGGGUGCGGCCCCUAUCUAAGUGCCCUGGAAUGGGCCGUCGGAGAGGGUGAGAAUCCCGUCUGGGAUGGGGUGUCCGCGUCCAUGUGAAGCUCCUUCGACGAGUCGAGUUGUUUGGGAAUGCAGCUCUAAAUGGGUGGUAAAUUUCAUCUAAAGCUAAAUACUGGCCGGAGACCGAUAGCGCACAAGUAGAGUGAUCGAAAGAUGAAAAGCACUUUGAAAAGAGAGUUAAACAGCACGUGAAAUUGUUGAAAGGGAAGCGCUUGCGACCAGACUCGCCUGCGGGGUUCAGCCGGCAUUCGUGCCGGUGUACUUCCCCGUGGGCGGGCCAGCGUCGGUUUGGGCGGCCGGUCAAAGGCCUCCGGAAUGUAGUGCCCUUCGGGGCACCUUAUAGCCGGGGGUGCAAUGCGGCCAGCCUUGGACCGAGGAACGCGCUUCGGCUCGGACGCUGGCUAAUGGUCGUAAACGAC
rnacentral:rRNA from 1 species